AUCUAUCAAUACUUAUAGAGUACCUACCUAUACUUGAUUGCUCGAUGCCCAUGUAAUAUCUCACGCGUUUUGGUACAGAAUAUGCUUCCGAUCAUGUUGCAAUGUUAAUAUGCACGUAGCUACUGUCAUUGAUUAUACAAUAAUCAAUGCUACUGUGUAAUGUCAUGAACUAAUUAUGGCAUUGAAUAAGUAAUCAUAGGACUUAUUCAAUGUCUAUGGUAAUACCACAGAUAUAUUCCUUACGUACGAGUAUAUCUGUGGUAAUACCAAUCACCAAAGAGUAGAAUACCCAUACUCUUUUGUAAUACAUUUGCAAGGAACGCAUAAGGAUGUGUAUUGUUGGUGGUCUAUAACCAAUUGCAAUAUCAAAAUCUAAAUUGACUACAGAAUGAAGUACGAUAAGUUGAAUAACCAAAACUUUUCGUGGUUUGAAACGUUUGAAAUGUUUAUUUUUUAAUAUACAGUAAGUUUAAGCAAAGAGUAAAUUAUGGUUACUCUUUGGUUUAAGGUCCAACGAAGUCUAGAGACUUAUCUGUUGGUGCCUUAUUAUAUUAUGUACAUUGUGUAACUCCUACUUAUUUUACAUUUUUCUAGCGUCGUUGGAGUUCGGUGCAAUGUUGAAAACAAAUUCUACAAAUUGCAUGGAUGCGUUUUGUUUAAAUGCUCUCCAAUUUCUUUUAUGUGUACUGCUUCUGCUGAUCCCCAAACUUGAAUUCCAUACCGUAUAUGCGACUCAACCAGUGAUUUAUAAACUAUUAUUAACAUUUUAGUAUCAACAUCCUACCGUUCUUUUUAAUUUACUACAUAUAUUAUUUAUGUGUGUGUCGUAUUUUAAUAGUUUGUAUUAUUUUACAAUUGCAAUAAAUGGAUUGUGUAUAACAUGUG